rnacentral:rRNA from 1 species
CACGUAGGGUGCGAGCGUUGUCCGGAAUUAUUGGGCGUAAAGAGCUCGUAGGCGGUGUGUCGCGUCGGCCGUGAAAACCUGCAGCUUAACUGUGGGCUUGCGGUCGAUACGGGCAUCACUGGAGUUCGGCAGGGGAGACUGGAAUUCCUGGUGUAGCGGUGAAAUGCGCAGAUAUCAGGAGGAACACCGGUGGCGAAGGCGGGUCUCUGGGGCCGA